rnacentral:tRNA from 1 species
GGGCCUGUAGCUCAAUGGUCAGAGCCGGCGGCUCAUAACCGCUUGGUUGGGGGUUCGAGUCCCUCCAGGCCCACCA